rnacentral:rRNA from 1 species
UACAGAGGUGGCAAGCGUUGUUCGGAAUUACUGGGCGUAAAGGGCGCGUAGGCGGCUUGGUCAGUCCCGUGUGAAAUCCCUCGGCUCAACUGAGGAACUGCACGGGAAACUGCCUGGCUUGAGUUCGGGAGAGGGAAGCGGAAUUCCGGGUGUAGCGGUGAAAUGCGUAGAUAUCCGGAGGAACACCGGUGGCGAAGGCGGCUUCCUGGACCGGCACUGACGCUGAGGCGCGAAAGCGAGGGGAGCAAACGGG